UGCGUUUUGUCUCUCAAAGUCGCCAUCUUUGCUCGGCUCACUGUAUGCCUUAGCUCAACCCAGAACGCCCUUGUAAGAAUUCAUCAUCUCUGUUGGCUUUUGGGAUUGAUUGAGAAUCGGUCUUGUGUGAACCUUUAGUUUAUUUUUCUGGGUCUUUAUUCAAUUUGGGAAGUUCAAAUUUUUCCCUGAUUCGACUUUUUCAUUGGGUACUGGGAUUUUGUCAAACUGGGUUUGAUUCGGUCUUUUAUUCUGAUUGCGCGAUUUUUUGUUGUUGUGAUCAGACUGAUUUAUAGCGGUUCUGCUCAAAUAUGCGAAAUUAGUCUUUUACAUAUGCUGAUCAAGUCAUGGCUUAGCCUGGUUUGCAGAUGCAUAAAUGCAAGACAGAACAUUGUGUUUGUGAGAGAUGAAGCAUACUUGAAUUGUUGAACAUACAAAUCAUCAUACAAACUAGAGCAGGAAACUGAAAAUCUAUAUAGGCAACUUGGGAUCUUCAUAUGGGUGCUCUGCAGUUGGGUUUACAAGUUGCUUCCGGGGGUCGCGGAAGCUCCCAUGGUUCAUACGUGGCCUUCUCUGCUGCAUCAGACUCCUAUUUUCAGCGUGAUCGCUUGUACCACCGGCUGCACCAACUCCAAUAUUGGCAGCUGAAUGAACUGAUUCCGAUGAGGUGAUGAAAACCAAGAGCAAGAAGAGCGCAAAGACUCUGUAUAAAGCCCUUAACUGCAUCAUUGUGUUUCUUUUUCAGUCUGUGGAGAGGGUAGAAGUAGAUUGAUAAAUAUUUAAAGAGUUGUAAAGGUGACAACUUUAACUUUGCUUUGGUUGGAAGUCAGUGAACAAAUCAUUCAACUUCUCACUCCAAGUAUUGAUUGCUGUGAGUGACUUCGUUUUGCUAUGAGUGGUUAUUUUCUUGGUGGGUAUUGUUAUUG